GCGAGAUGGCUUUCGGUGACUAUCCAGCUGAAUACAACCCCAAGGUGCAUGGGCCCUACGACCCUGCCCGCUUUUAUGGGAAAGGUAAGCAAUUUUUCAAAGUUACGUA
rfam:Drosophila pseudoobscura pseudoobscura strain MV2-25 chromosome 3, whole genome shotgun sequence.